rnacentral:rRNA from 1 species
UACGUAGGGGGCAAGCGUUAUCCGGAUUUACUGGGCGUAAAGCGCGUGUAGGCGGUUGCGUAAGUUGGUUGUGAAAUCCCUCGGCUCAACCGAGGAACUGCAGCCAAUACUGCGCGGCUUGAGUGGCAGAGAGGAAAGUGGAAUUCCCGGUGUAGUAGUGAAAUGCGUAGAUAUCGGGAGGAACACCAGUGGCGAAGGCGGGUCUCUGGGCCGAAACUGACGCUGAGGAGCGAAAGCGUGGGGAGCGAACAGG